rnacentral:rRNA from 1 species
AUGGCUAUUGCCGGCAGUGGGAGGGGCAAGGCGAAGCCCGCCGCCAGCGCCAAGUCCGUGUCACGGUCGUCCAAGGCCGGCCUGCAGUUCCCCGUCGGCCGCGUCGCCCGGUACCUCAAGGUCGGCAAGUACGCGCAGCGCGUCGGCGCCGGCGCCCCCGUCUACCUCGCCGCCGUCCUCGAGUACCUCGCUGCCGAGACCCUGGAGCUCGCCGGGAACGCGGCGCGCGACAAUAAGAAGAACCGGAUCGUGCCGCGCCACAUCCAGCUGGCGGUGCGCAACGACGAGGAGCUGAGCCGUCUGCUGGGCUCGGUCACCAUCGCCGCCGGCGGGGUUCUGCCCAGCAUCCACACCACGCUGCUCCCCAAGAAGGCCGGCAAGGGCAAGGGCGACAUCGGCUCCGCUUCCCAGGAGUUCUAG